GCAUCAAGUCAUGGGCUGAUACUCGACUGCCCCACUAAAUUGAAGACCUGUCUGCUGGCUGGGUAAUGACACCCCGAGAGCGUCUGCUGCACUUAUUGCCUGAGAACCAACAGAGUGUGCAAUGGGCUGAAAGCCAAAGUCAGCAUGGAGCCAAAGUCAAUGGUUGAGCUGCAGGGACGAGGGCAGAAACAGAAGCACUGCACAUGCACAUGCCACUGACCUCCUUUUCAGACAGGAGUCUUUCUUUCCACUGGGCUUUUGGAGUAACGGAGCCUGACGGUUAUGGAGCUCCAUGUGGAAAUCCAUGCUUUCUGUUCCCAAACUGCCUGGAAGCUACGCUACUUGGAUGGAAGAAUCAGCUUCAGACGUGACUUCAUCCAUGAGAACAACUACAACUGUGUUGUAGACAUUCUGGACAUAUCCUGUUCACAAGAAUGGGACGGAUGGAUGGAUGGACAACCCACUUAUAUAAUGACUCUGGCCGCUGGCUGUUUCCAGAUUGUUGAUGUCUGGUCCAACCUGUAGCAGUUCUACCAGCAGUUCGAAC